rnacentral:rRNA from 1 species
UACGUAGGGUGCAAGCGUUGUCCGGAAUCAUUGGGCGUAAAGCGCGCGUAGGUGGCCAUUUAAGUCCGCUGUGAAAGUCAAAGGCUCAACCUUUGAAAGCCGGUGGAUACUGGAUGGCUAGAGUACGGAAGAGGCGAGUGGAAUUCCUGGUGUAGCGGUGGAAUGCGCAGAUAUCAGGAGGAACACCAAUAGCGAAGGCAGCUCGCUGGGACGUUACUGACACUGAGACGCGAAAGCGUGGGGAGCAAACAGG